GGGCCUCUAGCUCAAUGGCAGAGCAGCUGACUCUUAAUCAGCCGGUUCGGGGUUCGACUCCCCGGGGGCUCACCA
rnacentral:tRNA from 1 species